GGUUUGAUCAUGGCUCAGAUUGAACGCUGGCGGGAUGCUUUACACAUGCAAGUCGAACGGCAGCACGGACUUCGGUCUGGGUGGCGAGGGCGAACGGGUGAGUAAUGUAUCGGAACGUGCCUAGUAGCGUAUAAUUCACGCGAAAGCGUAGCUAAUACCGCAUAACGCCCUUCGGGGGAAAGCGGGGACCUUCGGGCCUCUUCGCACUAUUAGAGCGGCCGAUAUCGGAUUAGCUAGUUGGUGGGUAACGGCUCACCAAGGCGACGAUCCGUAGCUGGUUUGAGAGGACGACCAGCCACACUGGACUGAGACACGGCCCAGACUCCUACGGGAGGCAGCAGUGGGGAAUUUUGGACAAUGGGGAAACCGAUCCAGCCAUCCCGCGUGUGCGAUGGAAGGCCUUCGGGUUGUAAAGCACUUUUGGCAGAAAAGAAAUUGGCACGGAUAAUUCGUGCAACUGACGGUACCUGCAGAAUAAGCACCGCCAACUACGCCAGCAGCCGCGGUAAUACGUAGGUGCAAGCGUUAAUCGGAAUUACUGGGCGUAAAGCGUGCGCAGGCGGUUCGGAAAGAAAGAUGGAAAUCCUGCAUUUCUAACUUUCUUUGGGAACUGCAUUUUUAACUACCGAGCUAGACGUCAGGAGGAGGUGGAAUUCCGGCAGGUAGUGAAUGCGUAGAUAGAGGAACACCGAUGGCGAAGGCAGCCUCCUGGGAUAAAUACUGACGCUCAUGCACGAAAGCGUGAGCAAACAGGAUUAGAUACCCUGGUAGUCCACGCCCUAAACGAUGUCAACUAGCUGUUGGGGCCUUCGGGCCUUGAAGCGCAGCUACUGCGAAGUUGACCGCCUGGGGAGUACGGUCGCAAGAUUAAAAACUCAAAGGACUGACAUUUUGGGACCCGCACAAGCGGUGGAUGAUGUGGAUUACACCUGAUGCAACGCGAAAAACCUUACCUUACCCUGAUAUGUUCCGAAUCCUUGAAGAGAUUUGGGAGUGCUCGCAAGAGAACCGGAACACAGGUGCUGCAUGGCUGUCGUCAGCUCGUGUCGUGAGAUGUUGGGUUAAGUCCCGCAACGAUGGCAACCUCUUGUCAUUAGUUGCUACGAAAGGGCACCUAAUGAGACUGCCGGUGACAAACCGAGGAAGGUGGGGAUGACGUCAAGUCCUCAUGGCCCUUAUGGGUAGGGCUUCACACGUCAUACAAUGACGGGACAGAGGGUCGCCAACCCGCGAGGGGGAGCCAAUCCCAGAAACCCGAUCAGUCCGGAUCGCAGUCUGCAACUCGACUGCGUGAAGUCGGAAUCGCUAGUAAUCGCGGAUCAGCAUGUCGCGGUGAAUACGUUCCGGGUCUUGUACACACCGCCCGUCACACCAUGGGAGUGGUUUACCAGAAGUAGUUAGCCUAACCGUAAGGCGAGGGCGAUUACCACGGUAGGAUUCAUGACUGUGGGUGAAGUCGUAACAAGGUAA
rnacentral:rRNA from 1 species